rnacentral:rRNA from 1 species
GAUGAACGCUGGCGGCGUGCCUAAUACAUGCAAGUCGAGCGAACGGACGAGAAGCUUGCUUCUCUGAUGUUAGCGGCGGACGGGUGAGUAACACGUGGAUAACCUACCUAUAAGACUGGGAUAACUUCGGGAAACCGGAGCUAAUACCGGAUAAUAUUUUGAACCGCAUGGUUCAAAAGUGAAAGACGGUCUUGCUGUCACUUAUAGAUGGAUCCGCGCUGCAUUAGCUAGUUGGUAAGGUAACGGCUUACCAAGGCAACGAUGCAUAGCCGACCUGAGAGGGUGAUCGGCCACACUGGAACUGAGACACGGUCCGGACUCCUACGGGAGGCAGCAGUAGGGAAUCUUCCGCAAUGGGCGAAAGCCUGACGGAGCAACGCCGCGUGAGUGAUGAAGGUCUUCGGAUCGUAAAACUCUGUUAUUAGGGAAGAACAUAUGUGUAAGUAACUGUGCAUAUCUUGACGGUACCUAAUCAGAAAGCCACGGCUAACUACGUG